AUCAUCAUAAUUUCAUUUUUAUAAUCUAGAAAAUUGUAUAAUCUGAGCAUAGAAGAGAAACUGGUCUCCAGUUCAUUAAAAGUACCAAGGCUCCUUUUUUUGGGAGCAGUGAUAGCACUAAUCUCCAGCCACUUACAGGGAGUGAUUUAGUCUCUAUGCAUUCUGAUAAAACCUCAUGUAAGUCUUGUCCCAUUAAAGUCCAGUAAUGCUGAUAAAAGUCCACGGUUAAUCUAUCUAUUCCAGGGGAUCGUCCCAUAAAUAGCUGAGACAUUGUCGCUGGUCUGAUGUGAUGGAUCCAUCUGGACGAUGAAGAGGGCACAUCGUCUUUCGGUUGAGGAUUUUUUUUUUUUGAGACCAUAAAUUUGAGAUUAUAAAGAAGAUAGUGAAUUGCUGAACCUCACCGUGUUUCUCCUGAAGCUUAGAAAACUACCCCAGUGUUCUUCUGUCUGUUUGUCAUGUUUAUUUAAUCUUCAGCUCAACUCAGAAGGUCAGGAAUAGAAAAUGGUGUCCUGCACUAACGAUCGUGUGCGUUAAUAAACAGAAGUGUUGGGUGAGGAUGUUGAAGGAGAAUGGGAGCUGAAUGCAGAAUGUUGGCUGUAAUGGAUGACGCAGACUUCAGCUCCGGCUCCUCGCCGGCUUGCCGCACCGCACCGCAUCUCCAUUUGCAUGUUAUUAGACGUGUGCAGCAGUGAUGUCUGGGCUAAAGUC